AUUGAACGCUGGCGGCAUGCCUUACACAUGCAAGUCGAACGGUAACAGGUUAAGCUGACGAGUGGCGAACGGGUGAGUAAUAUAUCGGAACGUGCCCAGUCGUGGGGGAUAACGUAGCGAAAGCUACGCUAAUACCGCAUACGAUCUACGGAUGAAAGCGGGGGAUCGCAAGACCUCGCGCGAUUGGAGCGGCCGAUAUCAGAUUAGGUUGUUGGUGAGGUAAAAGCUCACCAAGCCUGCGAUCUGUAGCUGGUCUGAGAAGACGACCAGCCACACUGGAGCUGAGGCACGGUCCAGACUCCUACGGGAGGCAGCAGUGGGGAAUUUUGGACAAUGGACGCAAGUCUGAUCCAGCAAUGCCGCGUGCAGGACGAAGGCCUUCGGGUUGUAAACUGCUUUUGUACGGAACGAAACGGUGAGCUCUAAUACGGUUUGCUAAUGACGGUACCGUAAGAAUAAGCACCGGCUAACUACGUGCCAGCCGCCGCGGUAA
rnacentral:rRNA from 1 species